rnacentral:lncRNA from 1 species
AUGAGAUGUCUUUUGGCAUCAGCUGUUAUGUUUGAGAAUGUGAUGUGUACUGUGAGACACUGAUAACGGGUGGCGUCUAGUGAACGUGUAUGAGUAUGAGUCUAAAUGUAUGAGAGUGUGAGGUGAAUAAGAAAUGAGAAGGGAAGAACGUGAAUGAGAAAGUGGAUAAGAAUGAGAUUGAGAAUAAGAAAGUGAAUGUGUCAAUGAACCUGCUUGAUGUCCUGUUUGGACCACCAAGAACGGGUGGGCGUCUAGAGUCUAAGAUAUGUAAAACAUGGGG